rnacentral:rRNA from 1 species
UACGGAGGGAGCUAGCGUUGUUCGGAAUUACUGGGCGUAAAGCGCGCGUAGGCGGCUUUGUAAGUUAGAGGUGAAAGCCCGGGGCUCAACCCCGGAAUUGCCUUUAAGACUGCAUGCUUGAAUCCGGGAGAGGUGAGUGGAAUUCCGAGUGUAGAGGUGAAAUUCGUAGAUAUUCGGAAGAACACCAGUGGCGAAGGCGGCCCACUGGACCGGCAUUGACGCUGAGGUGCGAAAGCGUGGGGGAGCAAACAGG